AAGAAGAAGAAGACGCUUCCGGCUUGGUUUGUUUUGGUUGAGUUUCCCUGACAGCGGCAGUUAGCAGCAGUUAGCGGUUAGCACUUAGCUUGAAGCUAACCAUGUCAGCCACAGAGGACGACACGGAGCUGCGGGACCUGCUGAUCCAGAACCUGGAGAACAACGGAGUCCUCAACAAACUCAAGGCAGAGAUGAGGGCAGCGGUGUUCCUGGCGAUGGAGGAGCAGGACAGACUGGAG